rnacentral:lncRNA from 1 species
UGCAGUAUCAAGCAACACUGCUGGAUUCUCGGCUACUCUUAAAAGCUUGCCAGGUCCUUAAUCCAGCCAACUUCCUUCCUGUCUCACAGGAUCCUCUGGCACGUGACUGUUCUGAGCUAGUAGAUCAGGUAUAUUCAAGAAGGAAAGACCUCCAAAGUGACCCUUGCAGGAUGCAGUGUAAGUGGGGUUUGUAGAUGGAAGCAGUUCUGUUGUUAAUGGUCAGCGCAGAGCAUGUUAUGCUGUGGUCUCCGUCCAUGCCACCACAGAUGCAAAGCUGCUCUCCCCAGGAGCAUCAGCACAAAAGGCAGAACUUAGUUUCCCUGAAAAGAGCAUUAGAAUUAGGAAAAAGAAUAAUUUUGACUAUCAAUACUGUUUCUAAAUAUGCCUUCUUUGUUAUUCAUGCUCACAGGGCCAUUUCUAAAGAAAGGGGUCUUUUGUCAGCCAAUAAAAUAUUUGCCGUUCCUUUGCCUUACUUACCAGUUAUGAGUUUUUUUCUCUCUUCAUUCUCUGUUUCCUCCCUCUGUCUAUAACCAAGCAUCAGAAACAGAAAAAAAGGAGCUGAAUAUGCUUGUGAUUGUUCGUAUGGUGGGAAUGUAGCUGCUGAUAGCUCCUGAAUCUGAUUCUGAUGCAAGACAUUACCACUGCAGUCUGGGAGACAAGGUCUGCAAGCCAGGAGGGGUAUCUGAGUCUGGGUGAUCACAAUUAGGCCAGGAACUCCAGGUGGUCAAAGCUUAAAGUGAAAGCUCACAAGUACCUGGGAAUCUGAAAACUCUUCUGCUGGAUCCUGAAC